GAAAAGGAAAGCAAUUGCUUUUGAUAAAAAAAAAAUUAGCUCCUUGACUAAGUUAUGAAGCAUCCCACUGAUAUACAGUAUUAUGGCUAAAAAAUCUCACGCAACACCCUGUGAUUAUUUGUAAACACAUAGCAGACAUUCAGUAUUAUUGCUGAUAUCCGCUUAUGUCUGGUCCAAAGGAGAAAAAAAAACACGUCACAUGCGUCAACUGAGCUGAACGCAUCAUCACACACGAGUGUUAUACCUGAUUAAUAUUCUAAAACAUUCACACGACUGUUUUCUUUCCCAAACGUAGCCUGUGUGAUCACCUGAGCAUGAUGCGAUUCUCUCUGAAGAUCGUCGUUCAGAUGUAUGCGAUCUGCGUGCUGUUCAAACUCCUCGGUUACGCUGAUGAUGCCAUGACUGUGAUGAGAUAAACUGUGGAUGUGAUGCUCGGAGAUGAAGUCAGGUUUGGAGAGGAGCUCUCUUCAAACUGAAUGUCUGUCCUGAUGUGCUCGAAUCACACGGCUGCUGGACUGAAUUCCACCUGCAUGACAGCGAGCGAAGCGCAGAAGUUCACUGCCGUAAACAACGGAGUAAACGCGACCGUAGAAAUGAACAAUUCACUCCCACGUCAACCUGACUGGAACUGUUGGAUAUCAAGCACCACACUGUCUGCUAAACACAUCUUAGACUGA
ensembl:lncRNA